rfam:Trichosporon asahii var. asahii CBS 8904 unplaced genomic scaffold scaffold00066, whole genome shotgun sequence.
GGUCGCGUGGCCCAAUGGCAAGGCGUCUGACUACGACUCCGUCACCGAGAUCAUCUCGGAGACUCAUGUACAUCAGGAGAUUGCGGGUUCGAUCCCCGUCGUGACCU